ACACAGAACUGCCCGGUCCUGCCCGCUGGGGAGAUUCCCUCACUGCAUGAACACGAGAAUGAAAUCUCUGUGGCUUUUCCUUUCCCUGUUCUCUGCCCCCUCCUGUGUCCUGUGCCAGGUGCAGCUGGUCCAGUCCGGCCCGGGGGUGGUGAAGCCGGGAGCGACCCUCAGCAUCACCUGUAAAGUCUCUGGAGUCUCUGUCAGUGAUCACUACUGGAGCUGGAACCGGCAGCCCCCCGGGAAAGGGCUGGAGUGGAUGGGCUUUAUCCGGAGCACUGCACGGGGAGGGACCACAGAGUAUAACUCGGCUCUCAAGCCUCGUGUCACCAUCACCAGGGACACCUCUAAAAACGAAGUUUAUCUCCAGCUCGGCUCGCUGACAGCUGCAGACACCGGCACCUAUUACUGCGCCAGAGACACAGGGCGCUUCACAGCCUCCACGGACAGCGCCAACUUCUACCUGCAAAUGAACAGACUAAAGCCCCAGGACACCGCCAGUGUGAAUCGCACCUGUUUCUCGCUGGCGCAUAGAGACACCGUGAGGGGAAGCCGAUCUGAGCUCAGACAAUCCCCCCACCCAGCAGAGACCCGGGAAGACAGCUCCGGUCCACAGCCUUGA